UACGAAGGGGGCAAGCGUUGUUCGGAAUUACUGGGCGUAAAGGGCGCGUAGGCGGCUUAUCAAGUCAGGCGUGAAAUUCCCGGGCUCAACCUGGGGGCUGCGUUUGAUACUGAUUGGCUUGAAUGCGGGAGAGGAUAGUGGAAUUCCCAGUGUAGAGGUGAAAUUCGUAGAUAUUGGGAAGAACACCGGUGGCGAAGGCGGCUAUCUGGCCCGUAAUUGACGCUGAGGCGCGAAAGCGUGGGGAGCAAACAGG
rnacentral:rRNA from 1 species